GGGGGUCAGCGGCAGACGGGUGAGUAACGCGUGGGAACGUGCCCUUCGGUUCGGAAUAACUCAGGGAAACUUGAGCUAAUGCCGGAUACGCCCUUUUGGGGAAAGGUUUACUGCCGAGGGAUCGGCCCGCGUCUGAUUAGCUAGUUGGUGGGGUAAUGGCCUACCAAGGCGACGAUCAGUAGCUGGUCUGAGAGGAUGAUCAGCCACACUGGGACUGAGACACGGCCCAGACUCCUACGGGAGGCAGCAGUGGGGAAUAUUGGACAAUGGGCGCAAGCCUGAUCCAGCCAUGCCGCGUGAGUGAUGAAGGCCUUAGGGUUGUAAAGCUCUUUCGGCGGGGACGAUAAUGACGGUACCCGCAGAAGAAGCCGGCUAACUUCGUGCCAGCAGCCGCGGUAAUACGAAGGGGGCUAGCGUUGCUCGGAAUCACUGGGCGUAAAGGGCGCGUAGGCGGACAAUUAAGUCAGGGGUGAAAGCCCAAGGCUCAACCUUGGAACUGCCUUUGAUACUGAAAGUCUUGAGACCGGAAGAGGUAAGUGGAACUGCGAGUGUAGA
rnacentral:rRNA from 1 species